CGCGUAGGCGGCCUUCUAAGUCGAACGUGAAAUCCCCGGGCUCAACCCGGGAACUGCGUCCGAGACUGGAAGGCUCGAAUCCGGGAGAGGGAUGUGGAAUUCCAGGUGUAGCGGUGAAAUGCGUAGAUAUCUGGAGGAACAUCGGUGGCGAAGGCGGCAUCCUGGACCGGUAUUGACGCUGAGGCGCGAAAGCCAGGGGAGCAAACGG
rnacentral:rRNA from 1 species